rnacentral:tRNA from 1 species
GAUAGUUCAGUUGAUAGAGCAUGAGACUCUUAAUCUCAAGGUCACGGGUUUGAGCCCCACUGAAUA